AGACUCCUCAGCCAUAUCUUCAGCAGGCGAAUACGGAGAAGAAAAUGAAUCGUUCCUCGCAAGAGGCUCCUCUUCUACAAUGUCAAGUAUAGUAGGAUCAUCUAUUUCCACGAUGGAAGGGACAUUGACUAUCGGUUUUGUGUCGUUAAAACUCCCUUUUCUUUUUGCAGCUUUAUCACCAUUAGAUGUAUCGUCUUCAGAAAGAGGAUUAUGUUCCGGUAAAGUAGGACUUUUGGAAU